AUCUCUUCUCAGACUUUUGACUAAGAUCAAGUGUAGUAUCUGUUCAUAUGAGUUAAAAAAGCUUUGAGUCCCUGAGGACAUAAGAGCAAGAGAGCUGGCAGGCUGACCAACUCAGAUACCUGUCAGGCUCAGAUCCAGGGCUUUGAAUUGGCCCAUCUGAACAUCUA
rnacentral:snRNA from 14 species